GACGAACGCUGGCGGCGUGCUUAACACAUGCAAGUCGAACGAAGAGCGAUGGAAGCUUGCUUCUAUCAAUCUUAGUGGCGAACGGGUGAGUAACGCGUAAUCAACCUGCCCUUCAGAGGGGGACAACAGUUGGAAACGACUGCUAAUACCGCAUACGAUCUAAUCUCGGCAUCGAGGAUAGAUGAAAGGUGGCCUCUACAUGUAAGCUAUCACUGAAGGAGGGGAUUGCGUCUGAUUAGCUAGUUGGAGGGGUAACGGCCCACCAAGGCGAUGAUCAGUAGCCGGUCUGAGAGGAUGAACGGCCACAUUGGGGCUGAGACACGGCCCAGACUCCUACGGGAGGCAGCAGUGGGGAAUCUUCCGCAAUGGACGAAAGUCUGACGGAGCAACGCCGCGUGAGUGAUGACGGCCUUCGGGUUGUAAAGCUCUGUUAAUCGGGACGAAAGGCCUUCUUGCGAAUAGUGAGAAGGAUUGACGGUACCGGAAUAGAAAGCCACGGCUAACUACGU
rnacentral:rRNA from 1 species